CCUACGGGAGGCAGCAGGAGGGAAUAUUGCUCAAUGGGGGAAACCCUGAAGCAACAACGCCGCGUGGAGGAUGAAGGUGUUCGGAGUGUAAACUCCUUGUGUUAGAGAAGAGAAUGACGGUAGCUAACGAAUAAGCACCGGCUAACGCCGGGCCAGCAGCCGCGGUAAGACGGAGGGUGCAAGCGUUACUCGGAAUCACUGGGCGUAAAGAGCGCGUAGGCGGGAUAGCAAGUCAGAUGUGAAAUCCUAUGGCUUAACCAUAGAACUGCAUUUGAAACGGUUAUUCUAGAGUAUGGGAGAGGUAGGUUGUAUUCUUGGUGUAGGUGUCAACUCC
rnacentral:rRNA from 1 species